GCGACCCCAGGAUGGGCGAGGCCACCCGCUGAAUUUAAGCAUAUCAA
rnacentral:rRNA from 1 species